CUGAGCUAUUUAUAAAGUAGGGGUCUUUAGUUUGGACCUGAGUUCGAAGCUAUUAUGUCCAAAGUUGGUCCGAAGUUGCAACAUCCAAAGUCAAUUUGAAGUCACAAUGUCCAUAGUUGCGGCAUCCGAAGUGGAUUCAUGGCAAUGAUUUUGCUAAUUUACUAUUGUCGUCUUAACCCAAUCUCAAUGGGGUGCUUGAGAAGAUUCAAGGUGAGGCUCUUCAUGCAAAGUUGAUAUCGAAGUCAAUCAAUGGCAAUACUUUGCCAAGUUAUUG
rnacentral:lncRNA from 1 species